ensembl:lncRNA
CACCGAUCUGCUGUAUGUCACCUUUGCCAGUGACGAAGGCACCAACGAAGAUGGAGAAGACCUCGGAGGGCCACGGCGAGAAUUCCUCCGUCUGCUUGUUAAAGCCAUCUUCAAAGAGAGUGGAGCAUUUGAAGGUUCUGCCACUCCUGAAAGAAAGGCCUUGCCUUAGGGUCCUUCUUGAUAUGCCCGAAGAACCCAGUGAUGUCCCAGCAGAUGUUGUGGCUACCCUCCUGAAACCCAACUACUCUGUUCUGGGAAGUAACAAAAGACCAAGAGAGGAGUUAAUGGUGGUUAAGUUCAGAGAGUUUCUUC